GAGAGCGUAAAUAUUCCAACAACUCGCCACCAACACCAAUUUCAGAGUUGUCAAAGUGUUGUCGAGAAACAGAAUCGGUCUCUAUUCUCGCCAAAUUUUCCAUCAAACUUUCGGUGGUGUCAAACUUAAGUUGUGCUGAAAC